rnacentral:tRNA from 1 species
GGCUCGUUGGUCUAGGGGUAUGAUUCUCGCUUUGGGUGCGAGAGGUCCUGGGUUCAAAUUGGGUUCAAAUCCCAGGCGAGCCC